rnacentral:rRNA from 1 species
GCAGUCGUACGAGAGUUUUUAACUCAAGUGGCGGACGGGUGAGUAACACGUAAGAAUUUGCCUCUAGGAGGGGGAUAACAGUUGGAAACGACUGCUAAUACCCCAUAUGCUUUCGAGUAAAAUGGAUUUCCGCCUAGAGAGAAGCUUGCGGCUGAUUAGCUUGUUGGUGAGGUAACGGCUCACCAAGGCGACGAUCAGUAUCUGGUUUGAGAGGACGAUCAGACACACUGGAACUGAGACACGGUCCAGACUCCUACGGGAGGCAGCAGUGGGGAAUUUUCCGCAAUGGGCGAAAGCCUGACGGAGCAAUACCGCGUGAGGGAUGACGGCCUAUGGGUUGUAAACCUCUUUUUUCAGGGAGGAAUUAAUGACGUGUACCUGAAGAAUAAGCAUCGGCUAACUCCGUGCCAGCAGCCGCGGUAAGACGGAGGAUGCAAGUGUUAUCCGGAAUCACUGGGCGUAAAGCGUCUGUAGGUGGUUUGAUAAGUCAACUGUUAAAUCUUGAGGCUCAACCUCAAAAUCGCAGUCGAAACUAUUAGACUAGAGUAUAGUAGGGGUAAAGGGAAUUUCCAGUGGAGCGGUGAAAUGCGUAGAUAUUGGAAGGAACACCGAUGGCGAAGGCACUUUACUGGGCUAUUACUAACACUCAGAGACGAAAGCUAGGGUAGCAAAUGGGA